rnacentral:lncRNA from 1 species
GAGCUAAACCAACUCAGACAUACGCUGGAGAAGGAGGAGCAGCGUGUAGGAGUUAGGAAACUCAAGUUCAAGGUGCAGAGCUGUCCCAUAUGAGUCCUGAGCCCUCAGAAGAGAGAGAGAAUGUUAAACACGGACUUCCUGAGCACCAGCCCUAGAUUCAUGGCCAAACAUCAUCCCUGGUGGCUCAAGAAUCACCUCCAACACAUUAUUUCUUUUAGAAAAUGCCUUCCAGUUCUCACAUGGGAUUCCAGUCUCUUUUUCCGGAGCAAAGGCUGCAGGGGCUCCUGGGUCUCCCCACAGUUCCGAGAUGACAGAAGUCCAUCUGCUAUUCCCAGUACCUGGUUUCCUUCCUUCUCUGGCUCCUAAGCCUUGGG